CGAAGUCAAUAUUGAUUCUUGGUCAUUUAGAGGAAGUAAAAGUCGUAACAAGGUUUCCGUAGGUGAACCUGCGGAAGGAUCAUUAAUGAAAUCAUAGCGGUCGUCUGUGCUGGUGGUGACACAUGUGCACGUCAAUUGCAAAUCCACACACCUGUGCACCUUUGACUGUGAGGUCCGCUUGUUGGUUUGUUCUGACAAGCAGCUGGUCAAACAUCGUGUUAGACCGGGUCUCACGGUAUUUUUUAUACACUCUGAAUGUAAUGGAACGUACUUGCGUAACGCAUAUAAAUACAACUUUCAACAACGGAUCUCUUGGCUCUCGCACCGAUGAAGAACGCAGCGAAAUGCGAUAAGUAAUGUGAAUUGCAGAAUUCAGUGAAUCAUCGAAUCUUUGAACGCACCUUGCACCCUUUGGUAUUCCGAAGGGUACGCCCGUUUGAGUGUCAUUGUAAUCUCACCUCUGCAACCUCGGUCGUGUGAAGUGGAGUUGGGCAGUGUCGUGUAAAGACGACUGGCCUGAAAUGCGUGAGUGUACCCUGCAGCCGCAGCGUCUUCAGUGUGAUAAAUGUCUUCACUGAUCAAAGUUCCUUUGGGACACGUAAGCGAUGUGGGCUCUGCGCUGCGAACCGUCUGUGAAGACAGUGUUGACAGUUUGACCUCAAAUUGGGUGGGACUACCCGCUGAACUUAAGCAUAUCAAUAAGCGGAGGAAAUCACUAAUGAAUUCGCGGCCGCCAUGGAGGUCGACAAUAUGGGACGUCGCUCCCAAUGCGUUGGAUGCAGAGUCGUA
rnacentral:rRNA from 1 species